CUAGUGGACGGGACGCUCCUACAACAACAACAGUUAGACACCUUGGUAGCUUUAUAGCAAACAUAGCUACAACAUUCACUCUCUUUACACUGUUUUGGUGUAUAUUAGUCGCUGUGUAUUAACCACACUUCUGUCGAAUGUACUUGUUGGCCCAUUUAAUUAUAUAAUUAUGUUGUUUGUCAGCUAGCUGGUUUGAUAAAUUAGCUUAGAACUAGGCUAGUUGCUAAUGCUAGCUAGCGAACAUCUCCGACCAUAAGUUCACUAAGCUACUCUCCUGCUAAAGAAGAGGAGGUCUUCUGGACGGAGAAAGAAGUUCUCCUGAAAGAGGAGGAGGAAGAGAAGGAUUUUACAAUACAAAAACAAGUAGAGGGUGAGGCUGUUCCCGUGAAAGAAGAAGAGAAAGACGUCUCAGUGAAAGAAAAUGAAGACUCGUUCAGAGUGAAAGAGGAGGUGGAUGUUACAGUAAAAGAAGAGGAAGCGGAGAGAGAGGAGGAUGCAGUUUAUGGAGUGAAAGAGGAGGAUGCAGUUUAUGGAGUGAAAGAGGAGGAUGCAGUUUAUGGAGUGAAAGAGGAGGAUGCAAUUUAUGGAGUGAAAGAGGAGGAUGCAGUUUAUGGAGUGAAAGAGGAGGAUGCAGUUUAUGGAGUUAAAGAGGGGGAGAUGACUGUCACAUCGAAAAAGGAGGAGGACGAAGAGGAGGAAACUGGACAUCUGGGCCCGGUUUCCCCAACGCAUCUUAACGCAUCCUAUGGUUCCAACGGUGAACUCAGCCGUAAGAUGGUUUUGAGAAACCGGGCCGUGAUUAACACUAGAGAGAGAUGUGACUAUCGUGGAUCCUCUGGGGAGCCUCAACAACAUCAUGAAGCUGACGAGGCAGAGAAGAGUCCCUCCCGAUCAGAACACCUCAAGAAACACCAGUGGAGACCAACAGGGAAGAAAUCUCACUGCUGCUCUGACUGUGGGAAGAGUUACUUAAGAUCAAAUUCACUAAAAGUACCAUGAGAAUUCACACAGGAGAGAAACCUUAUAGCUGUGAUCAAUGUGGAAAUAGUUUUACUACAUCUAGCCAUCGGAUUGUACACUAGAGAACACACACAGGAGAGAAACCUUAUAGCUGGAAAAUCCAGGUUCUGAAUUGAAAGAGUGAUAUUUAUAUGAUAUAACAGAAAGUGACUAACACAAAAAGAGCUGUGUUACACUUACAGCAUUGGUGACCCACUUGAAUCAAAAUGUAGCUAGAUGUUUUCUACAAGUUGUCCUCUAACCAAUUGAUGUACACAUUAUUCCCAGAUUCCAUGUGGUUUUUGAGCUGUUAGUUUUAACGGGACAACCUCAUCUCCACACUCUCACACAAAUGAUUUCAACAUGAUAUCGAUGAGUGAUGAAAAAUAAGUGUUGCGUUCCUUUGUUUAACGACCUCUAAAUGUAAAUGCAUCUCUCCAAAAUGUAGCUGACUGUCUUCUGCAGGUUGUCCUCUAACCAGGGAGGUAAAAUAUAUCUCCCAUUUCCAUGUGUUUUUUUAGUUGUGUUAGUUUCAACUGCACCUACAACCUGAUUUGUCCGCUAACCAGUGAUACUUAUUACUUAUACUUAAUACUUAUUUUCCACCAUAAUUUGCAAAUAAAUUCAUUAAAAAUC